GGCCUAACACGUGCAAGUCGAACGGCAGCACAGAGGAGCUUGCUCCUUGGGUGGCGAGUGGCGGACGGGUGAGGAAUACAUCGGAAUCUGCCUUAUCGUGGGGGAUAACGUAGGGAAACUUACGCUAAUACCGCAUACGACCUACGGGUGAAAGCGGAGGACCGCAAGGCUUCGCGCGAUAAGAUGAGCCGAUGUCGGAUUAGCUAGUUGGCGGGGUAAUGGCCCACCAAGGCGACGAUCCGUAGCUGGUCUGAGAGGAUGAUCAGCCACACUGGAACUGAGACACGGUCCAGACUCCUACGGGAGGCAGCAGUGGGGAAUAUUGGACAAUGGGCGCAAGCCUGAUCCAGCCAUGCCGCGUGUGUGAAGAAGGCCUUCGGGUUGUAAAGCACUUUUGUCCGGAAAGAAAAGCUUCGGGUUAAUACCCCGGGGUCCUGACGGUACCGGAAGAAUAAGCACCGGCUAACUUCGUGCCAGCAGCCGCGGUAAUACGAAGGGUGCAAGCGUUACUCGGAAUUACUGGGCGU
rnacentral:rRNA from 1 species